GCCCCGUUAGCACGGUAGGCAGUGCGUCAGUAUUGGGAUCUGAAGGUCGUGAGUUCAAUUCUCACACGGGGCG